rnacentral:rRNA from 1 species
CCUACGGGUGGCUGCAGUGGGGAAUAUUGCACAAUGGGCGCAAGCCUGAUGCAGCCAUGCCGCGUGUGUGAAGAAGGCCUUCGGGUUGUAAAGCACUUUCAGCGGGGAGGAAGGCGUUAAGGUUAAUAACCUUGGCGAUUGACGUUACCCGCAGAAGAAGCACCGGCUAACUCCGUGCCAGCAGCCGCGGUAAUACGGAGGGUGCAAGCGUUAAUCGGAAUUACUGGGCGUAAAGCGCACGCAGGCGGUCUGUCAAGUCGGAUGUGAAAUCCCCGGGCUCAACCUGGGAACUGCAUUCGAAACUGGCAGGCUAGAGGCUUGUAGAGGGGGGUAGAAUGCCAGGUGUAGCGGUGAAAUGCGUAGAGAUCUGGAGGAAUACCGGUGGCGAAGGCGGCCCCCUGGACAAAGACUGACGCUCAGGUGCGAAAGCGUGGGGAGCAAACAGGAUUAGAUACCCUUGUAGUC